ensembl:snRNA U2 U2 spliceosomal RNA
AUUGCGUCUCGGCCUUUUGGCUAAGAUCAAGGGUAACAUCUGUCCUGAUCAGUUUGACAUCUGAUACGUCCUCUAAUGACAACAGAUUAAUGGGGUUUGGAGCAGGGAGAUGGAAUAGGAGCUUGCUGCAUCCACGCCGCACAUCCACUCGGUAUGGCAGUACCUCUGGGAAUGGCACACCCCCU